GCGGCGCGGGACGGCGGCAGCGCCCGCCCGGCCCGGCCGUGAGGCCCCGGCGGGGUCGGGAGAAUCCCCGAGCCCGCUCAGCCCCCUCCGUGCCCGCCGGUGGCACCGGGCGGGUCGGCCCCGCACGGCCCCCGCGGGCCCCGCUCCCCGCGCUGCGGGCCCGUAGGCCGCGGCCUGGUGGGGCCCGGCCGCGCUCGCCCCUCCCCGGGCCCCAGCGAGCGGCGGUGGGAGGGCGGCGGGCUCGGCCCGCAGCGCAUCGUUCAAAAGAAACCCAGCGUCGAGAGACAACGAAAUGGAGGAAAAAUGGCCGAGCCCCGGCCGGUGGAGGACGGCGGGCCCCGCCGAGCUGCCCUGAUCCGCAGCGAACCCAGAGGCAUCGCUGCCAAACGCAUCCCUGCUCUGGGGGAAAGCAAGAUGGGGCCGGAGGAUGGCUGCGUUCCCUGCAGUGCCCCUCCAUCUUACAGAUUACAGGGCUUCCCCUCGUAGUAAAGAAAUUUAAAUUUGCAUAGCGCCGAUGGGUGAAACAUUUAAGCUCCAGUUGUCGGUUCUCCCCUCACUCCGUGUUAGCUGUCCACCAUCGGCAGGCUCCCUGCAGAAAUCCAGGGUGCGGUGGUUGUGUGUGGAACCUGCUUGGUGCAGAGUGGGAAUUUCACCAAACCAAAGCCCAUACACAAAAAUAAAGCCUGGUCUGUCCUAUUAAAAAAAAAAAAAAAAAAAAAAAAAGGCACGUACAGGAUUAGUAAGAGCAGAUGCAACUUGAAAACCAAGAGCUAAAUUGAUUUAUAGCCAUGGUUACUCGAAAUGCUCAGAGUUUAAUCUAUUCAUAGAAAUGCUCUAGAAAUCCCACAGGAUUCCAAUGGAAUAAAAAGGAGCAGUGCUCUUAGGCAGGCAUUAUUUAUACACCUUGCUCCUAAAGCAACAGCUUUCCCGUGCAGUUGGAAGAGUUGUGGGUGGUAGCACACAAUGGUAAAAAGAUAAAAUAUUGAACAGCUUUCUUAAAUUAGCAUUUUCCUUACAUUUUACCUUUUAAACUGAUUAUUUUGUUUUACCUCAGAGGCCUAAGUAACCUUGUGGUUAAUGCUUUAUGAGCUAGAUGACAGAUCCUACCCAACAUGGGCUCAGAAUUUUCCCAUAGAAAAUACUCUUAACAGAGACAGUGAUUCAAAGAAAUUUCAUUUUUUUAAUCCUUUCAGUGAACUCACGAGAUGCUUCACCAUUUCACAGCCACAGAACUGAGUGAGAAGGACACUGAGGAUUUCUGGAGCCCAAGAGUUUCUGUGGGAGACAUCAGCACCUGCAGAGCCCCAGGUUACCAAUUUUGGGAGCAUUUGCUGUAAGAGCAGGAAUCUGGUUCACUGUAUGUGAUGAGAUGAAUAAAUCCCUAAGAGCAGCUAAGAAAAAUCCUUUUUAUAUAUUUGUGUAAAACCCACUAGCAUGAAAAAGCACUUAACCAAUAUAAGACAAUAUAUAACAAUAUAGUAGUAGUAAUAAUAAUAAAAAUAAUAGUUGUAGUAGGAUAUAGAAGUAUAUAAAAAUAUAAGAAAUAUAUAGAGCCCAAAAGAGGUUACAAAGAUGUUGAAGGGUCUGUGCAGGGCCAGAAUUGGACUGGAUGAUCCCUUCCAACUCAGGAUAUUCCAUAAUUCUGUGAACCAACCUCUUUAGGGUGCUGCUUGUAAGUUCUACAGCUUUGGGCUAGUCCUGAACCUUGAGCAACUUUGAAAAGGAAGUUGUUAAUAAAAAGCACCAGGAAGUCUGAUAAGGGAACGAGCAGAACUCAUCCAGGUCACUGAAGGUGGGGUUUUUAGAGGGCAUCACUUCAAUGCUUUCCCAGCCUGGAACGUUCACAGCUCACAGCAGUUAGUGACUAUUUCUGUGGCUGGAGGUUAAGGACCACAAAAGCACCUGCAGCAGUUUGAAGGGGCUGUGGGGCAAAGAUAGCCAAGAAUGUCAAAAAACACAGAACCAAGUUCCACAGGCAGAGACAGCUUCUAAGACAUGACGUGAGCACACUAAAGUACAUUUUAGGGUGACAUGGUGUGCUCAGAAAGCAGGGUAUGAAUGGGCUGGUGUUCACAUCCUCAGUCAUGACUCAAGAGCAGUUGCAGUUUGACUUGUUUUCCCCUUCAAUGUAUUCUUUGUUUUCUUAAGCUCUGUUUGGCUUUCGUUGUGCCCUCCCUUUUUUUCUUUGUUGAGCAUCCUUAUAAAAAAGCAGGUUCAAAGUAAAUAUAGAAGUGAUUGUUUAAAAUAGCUCAGCAGUGACCACCAGAGAAGCUGCAGGGUGUUUCAGCUUCUGCAGGGACCCUGCUCUUCCUGUGUCUGCAGUGACCUCCCCACAUUCCCAGUGUAUGGGGUUCUACUGCUGGUAGGGCACAUCAUUCCCUUUACUUCCUCCUGAAUGUGCUUUUCUUGAUAGCCCACCAUUCCCAAUAUUUAUUAUUUUAUGGCUUGGUUUUAUCAAUAUCUCACCCUUUUUUUGUUGGUUUUUUUUUUCUCUUCCCCACCAUUUAUAGCUGACACUUUGGAUGUCAAUGAUGUGACAAAGAGCAGCCAGCAGUGGAUGUGGUGGUUUAGCUGGAGAAAAAUCCAGGAUUCAGUCAAGAAAGAAAGGAAACAAUUCCUAAUGGAGAAUUAUGUUCCCUUUUGCCUCUCCUGUGGGAUCCAGGUUAGAGCUGCUCCUUUCCAGGACUGCUGCUUCCCUCCAGAUGUGUGACUACGUGUGCAGGCUGUAUUUGCAUGUGGAGAUGAAUGAGGCUGAUAAUAGCAGCACUUAGCAGGAAGCGCCGCGUGAUGUAACAUUUCCUUGAUCUAACCUGCUGUUCGUCUUGUGCUCCCUUCCCUGAGCUGCCCAGGGUGAUCCUCAGCAGCAUCCAGCAAGACAAAACACGCCUGGGUACACAGGGACAGCAGCACAGGCACGGGGGUUUGCUUGGAGCAAAAUCAGCUGCUGGAGAAGCUCAGAGAACAGAGCUUUUUCACACCUUGUUCUCUCUUCCUUGAAGAUUUCAGUUCUUCAGUGCCAUUAUCCCCACCCCUCCUCUCGGAGGGUAGAGCUUUGUGGACAGUGCUGUGAGCACGGGUAUCUCCAAACACUUGGAGGGAUAUUAAGAGAACAAAUCAGGUGCUGACACACAGGCAGCACUUCCCAGAGAGAUACCAUGUAGCUCGUCAGCAAAGCUGCCCUGAGUUCUGGCUGAUGACACAGCCCUGGCCAGACCAGAGUUGGUGCCACAGCAAAACCAAACCCCAAAUUCCAAACAGCCACGUGGGACAGCUGCUGCCACCUCUGCCUUUCCCCCCACCCUGAUCUUCCCAUUGCCUGCAGCUCCCAAAUUCCCAGCUCAGCUCUGAGCAGGGACCAGCUGCCAUCAGAUGCAGUUUUUGAUUUGCACUUGCAGUUUUAUUGCCAUUUCUUGCCAGUUCUCAGCCCUGCAGCUCAGUGCAGCCAGGGUGAUGGAUGUCCCUGCUGGGCCAUGCAUCCAGCUGCUUCUCCUGCAACCAAGAGCAGAUGAAGGGAAAUGCUGAUGUCCACAGAACUCUGGAGGGAGGCACAGAAGUGCCAGAGCUUUUGCACCCAUUAUCAACCCUUGAACGACCCUUGCUCUCAAUUUCCACAGGCCUUGGACACAACAAGGGCAUUUCCUUCCUCAGCCAGCAAAGCUCCAGGAUCUACCUGAUGAAGCCAUGGCUCUGCAGCGAUUUUUGGGACAGAGCUGCACACUGGGAGACACCAACCCUGCCCAACAAAGCACCAGGAAAUCGCCAACCAGGCGCUUUUUGCCUUUAGAUUUCACAUUUUUAGGAAAAGGAGGGGGGAACCCAGCCUGGCUCCUGCUAAGCAGCAGCAGCACACAAAGCAAUCGUUAUGCCAAGAUUUAGCUGUUAAAUCCCUCAAGAUCUGGUGCUCACAGAGCAUAAACAACCUUUGCCUCCCAGCCUGGCCGAGCUGCACCUCCAGGAUUCCCAGCACAGCCACACAGACCCUCCCAUACCCAUCCUCUCCCCAGCCCUUCGCUGAGGCUGCCGUGCCAACAAGAAAGCCAGUUGCCAUGGCAUUUUUUCCCCCUACAGACAGAUGUCCAUUAAAAACCAAGUCAGCCUCAGGUUUGCUUCACAGAGCAGCUUUCAGUUAUUAUUACCAGCCUGCAAGGAAUUUCCACUGUAGCCCUUCACCUCAGAUGUUUCAAUGCACUUCAGGAUUAAUCCCUGGGGAUUAGAAGGAAACUACUACAGAGCAGGCACAGGUAUGUUCAGAGGACAAAUUUAGGAUUAUGAUUGUGGUUUAUGUUUUUGACAGAUGACAACCACAUGACUGUGUUUGGAAAGGGUUGAAUUUGUUACCUCUGGUGCUCUUUCCCCUGUUCACUGUGCUAAAAUCAUCAGGCAAAUUGGAAGUGAGAGGUGAAAGGUUCCCCUCCUCAGGGAUGUCCUCACCUGGGGCUCAGAUCUGGGAUUUUGGCUUCAGGAGGAACCUGCCUGUCCUGGACAGGGGCAUUGUCUGAGGCUCCAUCCAUGGAGAAGGGAAAGCCCAGGCAGCUUCUGUGAGCAGGGCCAAGCACUUCCAGCAACCACAUGGCUCAAGGAGCAAUGUCUUCUUCCUUGACCACAUUUUUAUUGAAGAAUGGAAAAAGGAAUGAAUGGAUGCCAUAGUCCCCCUCAGCCCAUCCUGGGGACCAAGGGCCUGUUGGAAGUGUCCCUUGGGAAAAGCAGAGGAGCUUUCUACUGCAGUGUUGGCAGCACAUCCUGAGCAUCUCUGCAGGGAUGGGUUUGAAGGGAACAGUCAGGUAUUUUUAUUUGGACUCCAACAGUGCUGAAUGUGUGAGAAUUAGACACUGAAAUUUAACUGUACAGUGGAAUUAGUUUUCCUUACUUAGCACUGCAGUGCUAGAAAUCCUUAGUGAUGUCCAGUGAUCUCCUCUCUCACAUCUGGCUCUGAACUUGGCAGGGCUCCCACAGCAAUCCUUGUUUAAGCUGUGGCACUGGGGAAACCUCGGCCUUCUGAGAUUUUGGAGUCACCAGUGCAGCUCAGAGCCCUGCAUCCAGGCUCACAGGGGGGUUUCCACUGGAGGCUGGAUCUUUGAAGGAGCCAAGUGCCACAACUGCAGCUGCAGGAGUGACAGCUCCUGUGGCUCUGGGAAGCAGCAGGGUCUGAGCACGCCCUGGCUGCAGGUCCCAAGGGAGCACUCCCUUCCAGGCUCUCAGUCACUUUUCAAGGCGACACAUUUGGAUUUCUUCUCUCAGUUACAGCAAGAACAGCUGCAAAUAUGAUCAAAAAUAUCUAAUCCUCUUAACUGCUUCUGCAGUUUGACUCGAUCACUGCAGAGGAAAGUGCUGUGAUUGCAGAGUGCUGCCUGCAUUCCCACGUAAGCCUCGGCUUUUACACCAUUGAUCGUUCCUCCACAUUGAUUUUUUGGAAGGAGGAGAAGGUGUUUGGCUCCUUGUGAUGAAACUGAGGGGGUUUUUCAGGAAGGCUUGGAGGCCUGGAGCUCCCAGAUCCCAGGGCAGCACCUGGCUCUUGAUGCUCCUUCACUGAACAAGUGGAAUCCAGCUGGGAUUUGUUCUUCACCAGAAACCAGAGCACAUUUGAAAGCUGCCAAGGAGAAUUGCUUGGGAAAAGACCUCUUUGCUCCUUGUGCAAGCCCUGCACUUGCCAGAGGGAAACUCUUGGCACAGCUGUGCUUGGACAAGACCAUCCAGCUUCCCCUCCAGCUGCAGCAGCAUCCCUGUGUCCUGUGGAUUACUCCAGCUCACCCAUCUUGCUUGGCCACAUCUCCCACUCAGCUCCUCCAGCUCUCACAACUGCACUCCACACAGACCGUGGAUUCCAGCCAACAGCACCAGCAGUUUCUCCAGCCUCAGUUAAUUCUGCUUGGGCUAAGAUUCCCAGUAGUGCAGAGGAAUUGUUCUGGGAGAUCCAGUCCUGGUGUAGAUGCUAAAAGGAUUUAUUGUGGGUUUGGUUAAUUUUACAGAACUCUGACACACAGAUCAUGAAGAUGCUCAGUCCUACCUGUCCCAGGGACAGCUAUUCUCACCCACUGCCCUCAGGCCCACAAACCCAGAGAACCUCUCCAACCACCAAACCAGCAAAUUACUGAAUGUGCAAAGACCGAAAUCUCAGUUUCCUGGUGAGCUCAGAGCUCAGCUCCCAGCAGCAGCAGCAGCAGCAGCAAAGCUUUCCAUGGCUUCCCAGCCUCAGCACAGCUCAGGAAACCCUCCCCAAAGAGCCCCCAGCUCCAGCUCCAGCUCAGCAGCAACCCCCCAGUGCAGCAGCUUUGGAGGAGCUCUUGGCCCUGAAGAAGGUUCAACAGGGCCCAAUUUCCUGGUGGGGAAGUAAACAGGAGUUUACUCCAGUUUCCUGGAGGUGUUUGAUGUUUGUAACCAGCUUGGGAUGGAAGGAGUUUGACUCUCCAGCUCCCUGGGAGAAGGUGGAAGGAAACCACGCGAGUGUGUUGAGCUGCCCAGAGAUAACUGCCCAGCCUUAUCUGCUCCUAUCAGCUCAGCUGGGCCCAACUUCCCCAGCCCAAAGAAGGCCAAGAGUUCAUUUGGACAGCUUUGCCUUUGAAUUAAAAACUAUCAGACUUCCAAAAUAACCUCCUCCCUCCCCUCCAGUGGAACAAACACACAGAAAGAACUGCACGCUGGUUUAAUUUUCCAUCACAUUUUUUGAAAAUGAAUUCCAAGAUACAGUACAGCAUCUUUAGUGUUCUACACAAAGCAAGCCUUCAGCAAAAGGUCAGAGGAUCUUAAUGGUGUAAAAAUAUAUCUUAAAUAAAAUAGUUUCUCUAGGAGAGCAAGCCGUGCUGUACAUCUCGAGGUCCUUAGAGUCAUUUACAGAAGGCAGAGGCCUGGUAGUUCAACCCACACACUGGAAAAGUGAGUGUACAUUCCUGCUACAAAGUCAGAAAAGGUCCAAGUUCCAGGUGGUGGGGGCAGAUCUGCAAACCCAAGCAGGGGAUGCCCAGAGUGCACUACCAGCCCUGUAAUUCCAAUGAGGAAGUUCAACUCUCUCUGUCCAUGCAGCCAGGAAGUGGAUGAGAACCACCCUCCUUCCCAGGGUCAUUCCAGGGACUGGGACUUGUCCCUUUCAAUGGGCCAAAAAAAGAACAACUUCUAGCAAUAAAGAACUGGCUGUUUGAUGCCUGUGUUCCAGGCUGGACCUGCUCAGCCAGAGCUGUUUCAGUGUUCCAAACUAAGGUCAUGAUUGUUCCUACAAGGACCAGGAUCACCCUGUGGCCUGCAAAGACAAUGGGGGACUCCCCUGCCAUUUUUAACAAAAGAUCAGCCUUUAAAUGCUCUGAUUCUGAGCACAACAGCAACCAGGACAGUCGCU